CAGUCGCGCGGUAAUACGUAGGUGGCGAGCGUUGUCCGGAUUUAUUGGGCGUAAAGGGAGUGUAGGCGGUCUUUUAAGUCUGAUGUGAAAGCCCACGGCUCAACCGUGGAGGGUCAUUGGAAACUGGGAGACUUGAGUGCAGAAGAGGAGAGCGGAAUUCCAUGUGUAGCGGUGAAAUGCGUAGAUAUAUGGAGGAACACCAGUGGCGAAGGCGGCUCUCUGGUCUGUGACUGACGCUGAGGAGCGAAAGCGUGGGGAGCGAACAGGAUUAGAUACCCCUGUAGUCCCUGUCUCUUAUACA
rnacentral:rRNA from 1 species